CUUGGGUACGGUGAUAUGGUACCUGAGACAAUUGCGGGGAAGAUUGUUGGUGGUGUGUGCUCCCUCAGUGGUGUGUUGGUCAUUGCACUGCCUGUGCCCGUUAUUGUCAGCAAC
rfam:Lutzomyia longipalpis Contig34933, whole genome shotgun sequence.